rnacentral:tRNA from 1 species
GAUAAAGUGGCCGAGGUGAAGGCGGUAAAUUGUAAAUUUACUUACGAAAUUAGUUUCUUUUAUCA